GACCUGAUGGCGCACCGGUAACGCGUCUGCUUUACCUACGAAGUAAUAUUGGCGUUUAAGCAGAAGAACCUCGUUCGAUUCGGGGUCAGGGCU